rnacentral:rRNA from 1 species
GAAAGUAAUUAAGGGCGAAUGGGGGAUGCCUAGGCUCUUGGAGGCGAAGAAGGACGUGGUAAGCUGCGAAAAGCUGCGGGGAUUUGCAAACGAGAUUUGAUCCGCAGAUAUCCGAAUGGGACAACCCGGCUGGCAGGAGGCCAGUCACACCGUAAGGUGGGCUAACCCUCUGAACUGAAACAUCUAAGUAGGAGGAGGAGAAGAAAGAAACAUCGAUUUCCUGAGUAGCGGCGAGCGAAAGGGAAGAAGCCUAAACCGACGUUGUUACGGCAAUGUCGGGGUUGUAGGACUGCGGGAUUCGAUACUAAGAGAACCGGAACGGUUUUGGAAAAGCCGGCCGAAGAGCAUGAAAGCUGCGUACGGGUAAUCGAGGUAAAGAAGGCAGUAUCCUGAGUAGGGCGGGACACGAGGAAUCCUGUCUGAAUCUGCCGGGACCACCCGGUAAGGCUAAAUACUACCAAGAGACCGAUAGUGAACCAGUACUGUGAAGGAAAGGUGAAAAGUACCCCGAACAGGGGAGUGAAAUAGAACCUGAAACCGUUCGCCUACAAUCGGUCGGAGCCACUUUGUGUGGUGACGUCGUGCCUUUUGCAUAAUGAGCCUACGAGUUACUGAUCACUAGCGAGGUUAAGUGGCGAUAGUCACGGAGCCGAAGCGAAAGCGAGUCUGAAUAGGGCGUAUAGUUAGUGGUCGUAGACGCGAAACCUUGCGAUCUACCCUUGGCCAAGAUGAAGUUCGGGUAACACCGAAUGGAGGUCUGCACCGAUAAGCGUUGAAAAGCUUCCGGAUGAGCUGAGGGUAGGGGUGAAAGGCUAAUCAAGCUGGGAAAUAGCUCGUACUCCCCGAAAUGCUUUUAGGAGCAGCGUUUUAAUAGUCUACUGGAGGUAGAGCUACUGAUUGGAUGCGGGGGCUUCACCGCCUACCAAAUCCUGACAAACUCCGAAUGCCAGUAGUAUGAUUUUCAGCAGUGAGCCGUCGGGUGCUAAUGUCCGGCGACAAAAGAGGAACAACUCAGACCAUCAGCUAAGGCCCCCAAACAUACACUAAGUUGAACUAACGAUGUGCGACUGCAGCGACAGCUAGGAUGUUAGCUUGGAAGCAGCUAUUCAUUUAAAGAGUGCGUAACAGCUCACUAGUCGAGCGGUUGUGCGUGGAUAAUAAACGGGCAUCAAGUAUACCGCCGAAGCUCUGGGAUCUACGGAUCGGUAGGGGAGCAUUCCAUUCGCGUCGAAGUUGUAGCGUGAGCUAUGGUGGAGCGUAUGGAAAAGCAAAUGUAGGCAUAAGUAACGAUAAGGCGGGCGAGAAACCCGCCCACCGCAAGACCAAGGUUUCCUGAUCAACGUUAAUCGGAUCAGGGUUAGUCGGGACCUAAGGAUAAGCCGAAAGGUGAUUUCGAUGGACAAUCGGUUAAUAUUCCGAUACUGAUAUGGACUGCGACGGAGAGACGAAGGGGCGUAAGCCACGCCAACUGACGGAAUAGUUGGUUAAAGGAUGUAGGUAAAUCGGGAGGUUAAGAGCUUUCUGAUGCUGAAAUCCGACAGUACCGCAAGCCUACGGGUGAGCGGAUAGUUGGCCCAAGCGGACUUCCGAGAAAAACUUCUAAGCUUCAGGUUCAUAUCACCCGUACCGUAAACCGACACAGGUGGUCGAGGAGAGUAUCCUAAGGUGCUCGAGUGAUUCACGGUUAAGGAACUAGGCAAAUUAACCCCGUAACUUCGGAAUAAGGGGUCCCAUUGAGAGAUGGGCGCAGCGAAGAGGUCCAGGCGACUGUUUAGCAAAAACACAGGGCUCUGCAAAUUCGAAAGAAGACGUAUAGGGCCUGACACCUGCCCGGUGCUGGAAGGUUAAGAGGGGAUGUCAUCGCAAGAGAAGCAUUGAAUCGAAGCCCCAGUAAACGGCGGCCGUAACUAUAACGGUCCUAAGGUAGCGAAAUUCCUUGUCGGGUAAGUUCCGACCUGCACGAAUGGUG